AUACUGAUGCUCACUAUAAAUAAUUGCAUUUCAUAUUUAUAUUUCACUACAAUAUAUUCUUAAUUGAUCAAGGAUGAAAACUAAGUUUUUUAUCUUCGUGUUCACUCUUUGUGUAUUAAUUACCAUAUCUAUUAUGGCAGUUGAACCAUUUAAAGAUGAAAAACAAUUUGGUGCAGUAGAAGAAAUCAAAACAAAUAUUGGGAUACGUGGACGGAUAGUCUGGAAUAAGAAUUGGACCAAUUCGAGAGUCCAAGGAUCACCAUUUUAGAAGGUUUGGAGGAGGAAAAUUAGGUGGACAAGGCUCAAGUGGCUCGGUCUCUGAAGGAGGUGCAAAAAGUAUAGGUGAACAAAACGAAACCGGAAAAGACAAAGGAAUUGAACCGAUGGAAGAGGAAGAUGGGAAAAUUUAAAUUAAAAAAAAAAAUAUUUGCUUAUAAUUCAGGCCGGAGGGAGUAUAGCAAAUGAUAUUUUCUUUUGUUUCUCAACAACUGUAUUAUUGUUUAUUUUACAAUUUAUAUUGUAUUUCAAGUUCCUCAACAUGGAUAUUAUUGGUUUUAUGUAUAUUAUUAGUUUCUGAGUAAAAUAAAAUGUUAGUUUUGUGUAUUGA